AUCUAGUGCCUGGAAAACAGGGUUAAAGUACUUUUAGCUUAACUUAGGUUGAAGAUAAAGAACAAUGUUUGUGUUUUAAGUGUGUGGUGAGAUGACAGGAUUUAGUGGCCCCACUAAACAUGAGUGAAUUAUUUCACACCAUCCUUCUACUUACCAGUUAGUUUGGAGACAGUGCCUCCAGAGCAUCUGCUAGCUUGGGAUACUCAUCUGCCCAUCCUGUUUUGCUUGCGAUAAAUUUUGUAUGAAGGUCACACCGUUCUAAAUCUUUACCAGCUAUCAGGAACUUGCAGAUAUGGCUGGUUUCAGCUAAUUUGUGAUUACUGGGGCAUCCAACUGUGCCAAAGGUGAAAAGUGCACCCUGAGGAAGACUGCUUACUUCAUCUUGAAGACCCCUGCCCACGACCAUCGGAGGGCAGUGUACAAGCGCCAAAAGCGAGGAGACUUAUGAGUACCUAAACUAACUGUAUUAUCCCUGCCGAACUCUUGGGAACCUAAUGAAUAUGCAUGUUUGUGUGUAAUAAAUAUCUGCUUGCUUAACCCCUCGGUGUGCAAGUUAGGAGGAGCAAUCCCCCUUGUACCCGGCGCUGUAAUAAACAUACCUGCUUUAUAACUCUC